GACAGAGGUGCCGAGCGUUAGGCGGAAUCACUGGGCUUAAAGCGUGUGUAGGCGGGUCGUUAAGUGUCUUGUGAAAUCCCACGGCUCACCCGUGGAACUGCUGGGCAUACUGGCGAUCUUGGGCCAACUAGGGGCAACUGGAACAAGCGGUGGAGCGGUGAAAUGCGUAGAUAUCGCUUGGAACGCCAAAGGUGAAAACAGGUUGCUGGGGUUGUGCCGACGCUGAGACACGAAAGCCAGGGGAGCAAACGGG
rnacentral:rRNA from 1 species